UUUGUUUUUUUUAUAGAUUAUGACUAUUAUUUGUGAUCCCUGCAACCCUAAAAAAAUCACCGUUUAUGUCAUUCAUAUGUCUAUUCAGAUGUCAACGCGAGAGACAACUCAACUGGCAACUCAGCGUAACUGUUAUGCUGAAUUAUGUCAUACCAUGUAUGCUGUUCCACAUGAUGUUACAGGCCUAGUGGCGAGAAUCCUUCUCGACAGGCGCAGGUGGGAUUCAAGACGCAGCGAGGUUGAAUAGGGUUCAGCGUUCCAUCCACUGCAGCUACAAUAACAGGUCUGCAGGAAUCCAGUGGCGUAGAAGCAGAGAGCUGUCAGAAGCUGCACGGUGCACCGAGGGCAAAAGUCCAGUGUGUUCCUCUUUUCAAUUUAUCCUGCACCAGACCAAGAGGCUCAUUAUUUCACCUCAGGCCAGCCUGUACUUCUCUAUGAAUUGUUCAUUAAUGAGAUGAUCCGAGGGGUUCAUGGCCACCCGCAAAACAGCAACUUGGCUUCCUGGAUGACUCCAUCUCAAACAUUUUCUUGGCUGACUUGCAGCAUAUACCUCCCUUUUAGUAAGCAUGUCCACUCCUUUCUGUGUUCAGUAAUGUUAGUUUGCACAGGGGGGGCGGCCAGUUCAACUUGGACCCCCAGAGGUUUUUUUUCUCCCUACUUGGGAGUUUUUGGUUCCUCUCCUCCAUUGUCUUCUGGCUUUCUUCUUUCUUUAUUCAAUUUCUUUCCUUCUUUCUUUCCCUUUCUGUAUCUCCCUCUACUUAUGUUGUAUGUAUCACAACACAACUUUGUUCUGAAAGGCUCUUUAUAAAAAUAAAUUGAAUUGAAUUGAAUUGAAUUUAACAAUUCUCUGCCUCAUGAGGGGGUGAUUCACCUUCCCAAUUCAAAGGAUGUGACUGAACACAUUGCAAGUUUGAUUGGUUUGCUCAUUACGCAGCCUAACAGGGUUGUUUGGAAUUUAUGAAUUGUGCCCCAUUCUAUUAAUGAAUUGGAAUUUGAAUUGAAUUGCCCACAUCCUAUAAAUUGAAUUGAAAUGACAGUAAGAAGAAUUUAAUUCAUUUCAAUUCAAUGCAUUUCAAUGCAAUCACACAACACAAGAAUGUCAUUUAAUCUAGCAAAACAUAAAUAAUAACAUAAUAGAUUUACUUUCAAGAUGGUAAAUGUAUUUAUUGACUUUAUAUAAACCUUGUAUAAAAUUUGUCUUUGGUCGAUUAUUUCUUUGUUGUGACAAGGCUUCUUGGCCAUAAAUCUUAUACCGAAAGCCUGUUUAUUUCCCUUGUAAAUGGUGCCACAUUUGUAAGGAAAAUGCAUUUGUAGGCUUGUCAUCAUUGGAGGUAAUUCCAAUGCAGAGAGAUAUCGAGAUGAGGUUCUGCAGCUAGUGGCAAUCCUAUAUCUCCAGUCUAGGACUAAACUAUAUCCUCCAAGAUGACAACGCUCGCCCCCACUGAGUGGGGUUUAUCAGAGACUACCUGCAGAAUUUGGGAGUGGAGAGGAUGGAAUGCAAUUAAUGCAUUAAUUCAACCCCAUUGUGCAAAAUGUGUCAGGGUCAGCACCCGUUUGUCCCAGUCUUUCGUGUCUUCUCCCCGUUUGGCCAGCAGGUGCCGCUGGCCAUCCUGUCCUCCCCGUUGUCAGUCUUUAGUGUGUUUCCCCUGCUCCCCGGAUGGCUCAAUAAGUUGAGUGUGUGGCUACCUGUAAACUCCUGUGUUCACAUCUUGCCUCCUCUGUUUUUGUAAAUUUUGUUCCCUAGUAUUUCAUUUGUGUCAGUUUUUCUAGUUCCUGAGUUUUGUGACUUGUAUUCGGUUUUGGUUUUCUGCUUUGUGCCCAUGGUUGUGUUUUACCUGUCUUUGUUAUUCCCCUAUUUAGAGAUUCUGUUUCUUAGCUUCUCUGUUAGUUUCUGAGUUCCUUGAUUUAAUUAGUUGUUUCACCUGUUGCCUAUUUUACCAGCCCUUGUUAAUUGUUCUCACCUGUCCUGCAUUAUUCUUGUUAGCCCUCUGUAUUUACGUUCCGGAUCCUGUUCUGUUCCUGGUGGAGUCAUUGUUGUUGUUGAUGAUGUUCUAGAUGAUGGUGUUUUUGUUGACUGUGUUUUUGCUAUUUUUGAUUCCCUGCCUGUUCUCUGUGUAGCUAGUUUCCCUUUGUAUAUUAAUUUGUUCUGUUAGUUACUUUGUACCCUUUUUUAUAGUUUUGACCUCUCGUGGUCUGUUUUUUAGUAUUUCCUAGUGUUUUCUGUUUCUGUUAAUAAACCCCUGUUGUAGUCCUGCAGCCGCCAGUGAAUCGUCCACCUUCUUUCAUGCCCACACCAUGCCUCGCCCCCUUGUCAGAAACUCGCAAGACCAUGACAAAAUGUCUCACAGACUUUUAUCCAUUUUAGUUUUUUACAAAUGCAAUGCAUCGUAAAUGCUUGAGAGAAAUUCAUAGUACAUUAUGUUGGUGUAUGUUGAUGCUUCCAUGUCUCAUUCUCGCCA